UCCCUAGUAGCGGCGAGCGAAGCGGGAAGAGCUCAAAUUUAUAAUCUGGCACCUUCGGUGUCCGAGUUGUAAUCUCUAGAAAUGUUUUCCGCGUUGGACCGCACACAAGUCUGUUGGAAUACAGCGGCAUAGUGGUGAGACCCCCGUAUAUGGUGCGGACGCCCAGCGCUUUGUGAUACAUUUUCGAAGAGUCGAGUUGUUUGGGAAUGCAGCUCAAAUUGGGUGGUAAAUUCCAUCUAAAGCUAAAUAUUGGCGAGAGACCGAUAGCGAACAAGUACCGUGAGGGAAAGAUGAAAAGCACUUUGGAAAGAGAGUUAACAGUACGUGAAAUUGUUGGAAGGGAAACGCUUGAAGUCAGACUUGCUUGCCGAGCAAUCGGUUUGCAGGCCAGCAUCAGUUUUCCGGGAUGGAUAAUGGUAGAGAGAAGGUAGCAGUUUCGGCUGUGUUAUAGCUCUCUGCUGGAUACAUCUUGGGGGACUGAGGAACGCAGUGUGCCUUUUGGCGGGGGUUUCGACCUCUUCACACUUAGGAUGCUGGUGGAAUGGCUUUAAACGACCCGUCUUGAAACACGGACCA
rnacentral:rRNA from 1 species